rnacentral:misc_RNA from 1 species
GGUAAAGCUCGGUCCUUGAACAAAGCCCAGCAAGCAUCCUCGGGCAAGCCUGUGAGAUGAUAUGGCGGGAUUGUCCCAACUAUUGAUGCAACUUUGUCACUACGGGUCGUCACGAUUAUCUUGCCUCCCCCCACACCACCUCUCAACAAAUUUCCAAGCCUCUCCCACUCACAUGGAUCUUCCAUCCACACAUCAUCCAAAACAAGCAAGAACCUUUUCCCACAUAAUGAUUCCUGCAGCUCAGAUUGUAGUAUAUCCAUCUCUAAGAAUUUGCAUCUUCUCCUGGUUGCUGACUCUACAAUAGCUCUAAUAAUCCUUUUAACAUUGAAAUCAUCAGACACAUAAACCCAUAAUUUCAAAUCAAAACUACCUAUCAACUUAUCAUCAUUGUAGACAAACUGAGCAAGGGUUGUCUUUCCAAUGCCACCUAUACCAACUAUAGGAAUAAUUGUAACAUCCCCUACAUUUUGCCCUUGGGAAGAUAGUGAUAAAAGUUCUAAAAUCUUCUCCUUAUCCUUCCCUCUCCCAUAAACUUCUGAUUUAUUUACAAAGGACCCUGUGUCUCUAUUUUUAGCUG